AAACCAGCACCUCAAGUGGUCAGGAUGAUUAUUGGGCCUAAAGCAUCCGUAGCCGGCUCUGUAAGUUUUCGGUUAAAUCUGUACGCUUAACGUACAGGCUGCCGGGAAUACUGCAGAGCUAGGGAGUGGGAGAGGUAGACGGUACUCGGGAGGAAGUGGUAAAAUGCUUUGAUCUCUCGAUGACCACCUGUGGCGAAGGCGGUCUAUCAGAACACGUCCGACGGUGAGGGAUGAAAGCUGGGGGAGCAAACCGGAUUAGAUACCCGGGUAGUCC
rnacentral:rRNA from 1 species